rnacentral:tRNA from 1 species
GCCAGCAUGUUGUAGUGGUUUGAGUGCUGGACUAUGACUCUGGAGACCAGGGUUUGAUUCCCUGCUCGAGCA